UACGAAGGGGGCUAGCGUUGCUCGGAAUCACUGGGCGCAAAGCGCACGUAGGCGGAUUGUUAAGUCAGGGGGUGAAAUCCUGGAGCUCAACUCCAGAACUGCCUUUGAUACUGGCGAUCUUGAGUCCGGGAGAGGUGAGUGGAACUGCGAGUGUAGAGGUGAAAUUCGUAGAUAUUCGCAAGAACACCAGUGGCGAAGGCGGCUCACUGGCCCGGUACUGACGCUGAGGUGCGAAAGCGUGGGGAGCAAACAGG
rnacentral:rRNA from 1 species